rnacentral:piRNA from 1 species
UGCCCUCUGCCCUUUGCCCUAUGUCC